UACGUAGGGUGCGAGCGUUGUCCGGAAUUAUUGGGCGUAAAGAGCUCGUAGGCGGUGUGUCACGUCGGCCGUGAAAACCUGGGGCUCAACUCUGGGCGUGCGGUCGAUACGGGCAUCACUAGAGUUCGGUAGGGGAGACGUGGAAUUCCUGGUGGUAGCGGUGGAAUGCGCAGAUAUCAGGAGGAACACCGAUGGCGAAGGCAGGUCUCUGGGCCGCAACUGACGCUGAGGAGCGGAAAGCAUGGGGAGCGAACAGG
rnacentral:rRNA from 1 species